ACACGACUCUCGGCAACGGAUAUCUAGGCUCUCGCAUCGAUGAAGAACGUAGCAAAAUGCGAUACUUGGUGUGAAUUGCAGAAUCCCGUGAAUCAUCGAGUUUUUGAACGCAAGUUGCGCCCGAAGCCAUCCGGCCAAGGGCACGUCUGCCUGGGCGUCACGCAUCUCGUCGCCACCCCCUCCAGACCCGUCCUC
rnacentral:rRNA from 2 species